rnacentral:rRNA from 1 species
UACAGAGGGUGCGAGCGUUGUCCGGAAUCACUGGGCGUAAAGGGCGCGUAGGCGGCCUGAUAAGUCGGGGGUGAAAUCCUGUGGCUUAACCACAGGGCUGCCUCCGAGACUGUCGGGCUCGAGCACAGUAGAGGCAGGUGGAAUUCCCGGUGUAGCGGUGAAAUGCGUAGAGAUUGGGAAGAACAUCCGUGGCGAAAGCGCUCUGCUGGACUGCAACUGACAUUGAGGGACGAAAGCUAGGGGAGCGAAUGGG